UUGGACGCUGGCGGCAUGCCUUACACAUGCAAGUCGAACGGCAGCGCGGACUUCGGUCUGGCGGCGAGUGGCGAACGGGUGAGUAAUACAUCGGAACGUACCCUGUUGUGGGGGAUAACUAGUCGAAAGAUUAGCUAAUACCGCAUACGACCUGAGGGUGAAAGUGGGGGACCGCAAGGCCUCACGCAGCAGGAGCGGCCGAUGUCUGAUUAGCUAGUUGGUGGGGUAAAGGCCCACCAAGGCGACGAUCAGUAGCUAGUCUGAGAGGACGAUCAGCCACACUGGGACUGAGACACGGCCCAGACUCCUACGGGAGGCAGCAGUGGGGAAUUUUGGACAAUGGGGGCAACCCUGAUCCAGCAAUGCCGCGUGUGUGAAGAAGGCCUUCGGGUUGUAAAGCACUUUUGUCCGGAAAGAAAUCGCGCUGGUUAAUACCUGGCGUGGAUGACGGUACCGGAAGAAUAAGCACCGGCUAACUACGUG
rnacentral:rRNA from 1 species